rnacentral:tRNA from 1 species
GAAGUCCUAGCUGAACGGGAAAGCACUGGGUUGGGAAUCCAGAGACUUGGAUUCAAAUCCUGUCUUUA